rnacentral:rRNA from 1 species
CACGUAGGGGCCAAGCGUUGUCCGGAUUCAUUGGGCGUAAAGAGCUCGUAGGCGGUUCAGUCAGUCGGGUGUGAAAUCUCCGGGCUCAACUCGGAGGGGCCACCCGAUACUGCUGUGACUCGAGUCCGGUAGGGGAGUGGGGAAUUCCUGGUGUAGCGGUGAAAUGCGCAGAUAUCAGGAGGAACACCUGUGGUGUAGACGGCUUACUGGACCGCAACUGACGCUGAGACACGAAAGCGUGGGUAGCAAACAGG